GCUGAGCCUUCGUUGCUGUGUCCUGUAUCCCAGAAGAAUGGGAGAAAAGAGACUUGACAGUUUCCUGCCCCAGCUGGAAACAGAUGGCUCACUUAAACUGGAUAAUUUGAAGAGCAUGAAUAGAGGAAUUGUUUACAGAGUUGUCACAGGAUACAGGAAUCAAAAAGACAGUGAUGUUUCCACAGGCUGGCAAAAUCUGGAAGCCCACCCUUGUGAGAAGAGAGAAGCCAGGACCCCUGGUGAGGGGAUCAUGCUGAGCCCCUACACAGCUGCAGGCGGAGGACUGGUCGUGAAGGAAAGGUGGACCUUGUGAUUAGAGGUUUGCACCCAGUUGUUCAGAAGCACAAGUGGCCCGAAACCGCUGCAAUCCCUGAAACCACCUCCCUGGAGCUUGUAACUGGUGUCUGCAGUGUGGGGGCCUCAGGUGGACCAUGCCCUUAACCUGCGAAACCCGACCCAAUGCUGAGGAAUGAGUGUCACAAUUGCAUUGAGAGCAAGUUCAAAGCGAAGGUGACGAUACAGGGCCUGUGGCUGAGAGAUAUGGACCUGGGACGGGAGGCUGCACAGAACGUCUGCAGAGUGCACAGAAGAAACAUCGGGCAGCCUGCGCGCCUCCUGCACCUGAGGAGCUGCGAGGGCAAUGGAGGCAGCAUGUGUGGGAUGAGAUGAGACCAGCGGGAAGAGA
ensembl:lncRNA novel transcript